rnacentral:rRNA from 1 species
GAUGAACGCUGGCGGCGUGCCUAAUACAUGCAAGUCGAGCGAACAGAUGAGGAGCUUGCUCCUCUGACGUUAGCGGCGGACGGGUGAGUAACACGUGGAUAACCUACCUAUAAGACUGGGAUAACUUCGGGAAACCGGAGCUAAUACCGGAUCAUAUAUUGAACCGCAUGGUUCAAUAGUUCAAGACGGUUUUGCUGUCACUUAUAGAUGGAUCCGCGCCGCAUUAGCUAGUUGGUAAGGUAACGGCUUACCAAGGCAACGAUGCGUAGCCGACCUGAGAGGGUGAUCGGCCACACUGGAACUGAGACACGGUCCAGACUCCUACGGAAGGCAGCAGUAGGGAAUAUUCCGCAAUGGGCGAAAGCCUGACGGAGCAACGCCGCGUGAGUGAUGAAGGUCUUCGGAUCGUAAAACUCUGUUAUUAGGGAAGAACAAAUGUGUAAGUAACUAUGCACGUCUUGACGGUACCUAAUCAGAAAGCCACGGCUAACUACGUG